CCAUACCGCGUGGGUGAAGAAGGCCUUCGGGUUGUAAAGCCCUUUUGUUGGGAAAGAAAUCCAUCUGGUUAAUACCCGGAUGGGAUGACGGUACCCAAAGAAUAAGCACCGGCUAACUUCCUGCCAGCAGCCGCGGUAAU
rnacentral:rRNA from 1 species